rnacentral:rRNA from 1 species
UGGGGAAUAUUGGACAAUGGGCGCAAGCCUGAUCCAGCAAUGCCGCGUGUGUGAAGAAGGCCCUCGGGUUGUAAAGCACUUUUAUCAGGAGCGAAAUCUGCAAGGCUAAUACCCUUGUAGUCUGACGGUACCUGAGGAAUAAGCACCGGCUAACUCCGUGCCAGCAGCCGCGGUAAUACGGAGGGUGCAAGCGUUAAUCGGAAUUACUGGGCGUAAAGCGUGUGUAGGCGGUUUGUUAAGUCUGUUGUGAAAGCCCCGGGCUCAACCUGGGAAUGGCAAUGGAUACUGGCAAGCUAGAGUGUGAUAGAGGACGGUGGAAUUCCCGGUGUAGCGGUGAAAUGCGUAGAGAUCGGGAGGAACAUCAGUGGCGAAGGCGGCCAUCUGGAUCAACACUGACGCUGAGACACGAAAUGCNUGUGAGCAAACAGGAUUAGAUACCCUGGUAGUCCACGCCCUAAAACGAUGCGAACUGGAUGUUGGUCUCAACUCGGAGAUCAGUGUCGAAGCUAACGCGUUAAGUUCGCCGCCUGGGGAGUGCGGUCGCAAGACUGAAACUCAAA